rnacentral:rRNA from 1 species
AGAGUUUGAUCCUGGCUCAGGAUGAACGCUAGCUACAGGCUUAACACAUGCAAGUCGAGGGGCAGCAUGGUCUUAGCUUGCUAAGGCCGAUGGCGACCGGCGCACGGGUGAGUAACACGUAUCCAACCUGCCGUCUACUCUUGGACAGCCUUCUGAAAGGAAGAUUAAUACAAGAUGGCAUCAUGAGUCCGCAUGUUCACAUGAUUAAAGGUAUUCCGGUAGACGAUGGGGAUGCGUUCCAUUAGAUAGUAGGCGGGGUAACGGCCCACCUAGUCUUCGAUGGAUAGGGGUUCUGAGAGGAAGGUCCCCCACAUUGGAACUGUGACACGGUCCAAACUCCUACGGGAGGCAGCAGUGAGGAAUAUUGGUCAAUGGGCGAGAGCCUGAACCAGCCAAGUAGCGUGAAGGAUGACUGCCCUAUGGGUUGUAAACUUCUUUUAUAAAGGAAUAAAGUCGGGUAUGGAUACCCGUUUGCAUGUACUUUAUGAAUAAGGAUCGGCUAACUCCGUGCCAGCAGCCGCGGUAAUACGGAGGAUCCGAGCGUUAUCCGGAUUUAUUGGGUUUAAAGGGAGCGUAGAUGGAUGUUUAAGUCAGUUGUGAAAGUUUGCGGCUCAACCGUAAAAUUGCAGUUGAUACUGGAUAUCUUGAGUGCAGUUGAGGCAGGCGGAAUUCGUGGUGUAGCGGUGAAAUGCUUAGAUAUCACGAAGAACUCCGAUUGCGAAGGCAGCCUGCUAAGCUGCAACUGACAUUGAGGCUCGAAAGUGUGGGUAUCAAACAGGAUUAGAUACCCUGGUAGUCCACACGGUAAACGAUGAAUACUCGCUGUUUGCGAUAUACAGCAAGCGGCCAAGCGAAAGCGUUAAGUAUUCCACCUGGGGAGUACGCCGGCAACGGUGAAACUCAAAGGAAUUGACGGGGGCCCGCACAAGCGGAGGAACAUGUGGUUUAAUUCGAUGAUACGCGAGGAACCUUACCCGGGCUUAAAUUGCAGAUGAAUUACGGUGAAAGCCGUAAGCCGCAAGGCAUCUGUGAAGGUGCUGCAUGGUUGUCGUCAGCUCGUGCCGUGAGGUGUCGGCUUAAGUGCCAUAACGAGCGCAACCCUUGUUGUCAGUUACUAACAGGUUCCGCUGAGGACUCUGACAAGACUGCCAUCGUAAGAUGUGAGGAAGGUGGGGAUGACGUCAAAUCAGCACGGCCCUUACGUCCGGGGCUACACACGUGUUACAAUGGGGGGUACAGAGGGCCGCUACCACGCGAGUGGAUGCCAAUCCCAAAAACCUCUCUCAGUUCGGACUGGAGUCUGCAACCCGACUCCACGAAGCUGGAUUCGCUAGUAAUCGCGCAUCAGCCACGGCGCGGUGAAUACGUUCCCGGGCCUUGUACACACCGCCCGUCAAGCCAUGGGAGCCGGGGGUACCUGAAGUGCGUAACCGCGAGGAGCGCCCUAGGGUAAAACUGGUGACUGGGGCUAAGUCGUAACAAGGUA